UGGGGAAUAUUGGACAAUGGGCGCAAGCCUGAUCCAGCCAUACCGCGUGGGUGAAGAAGGCCUUCGGGUUGUAAAGCCCUUUUGUUGGGAAAGAAAAGCAGUCGGCUAAUACCCGGUUGUUCUGACGGUACCCAAAGAAUAAGCACCGGCUAACUUCGUGCCAGCAGCCGCGGUAAUACGAAGGGUGCAAGCGUUACUCGGAAUUACUGGGCGUAAAGCGUGCGUAGGUGGUUGUUUAAGUCUGUUGUGAAAGCCCUGGGCUCAACCUGGGAAUUGCAGUGGAUACUGGGCGACUAGAGUGUGGUAGAGGGUAGUGGAAUUCCCGGUGUAGCAGUGAAAUGCGUAGAGAUCGGGAGGAACAUCCAUGGCGAAGGCAGCUACCUGGACCAACACUGACACUGAGGCACGAAAGCGUGGGGAGCAAACA
rnacentral:rRNA from 1 species